rnacentral:lncRNA from 1 species
GUUGUCAUGUCCAAAUUAACUAUGAAUUCCUUUGUCGUCUUAUAGAACUGAUGACAAAGAGAUGAUUUUUGGGGAGCUGUACUCAUAGCAUCUAUGUCCUGAUUUCCAGGUCAAGGUUUAAUGAGACCUAUUCAUCAAAAUCCCAUGCAUGAAGGCUGCAGACAAACUGUGAUAACUGGGGCAAUAGAAGACUCUUGGGGAAAGAUUGUGCUAUUCAAAUCCUUCCAUGGUUCCUCUUCUGAAGAACUCACAGAACUUCAGCUGCUCGGUGCCUUUCCUGCAGCUUUUAAAUCAGCUCUCCUCUUGGAAGCAAGACAAGAUCGCUCAUCUCUGUGCUGGUGAUUGCUCUGGAGAUAUUGUAGUCCCACUCUUAAAAUAUGAAAUUUAUUUGAUUAUAAAGGAUAUUAUUAUAUAUGCACACCUAUGUAGAUAUAUGCUAGGUAAACAUUCCUUUUCCCUGCUUGAGAGAAUUUAAUAAUUACCAGAUGAGAAUGAUAACCAUGCGUUUUUUUCAUUAUUAACAUUCAAAUAGUGUAGCUCUGAUUUAAUGUUCUAAGAUAUCUUUUUGUUCUUUGCCUUUUUCUAGGCUGACAAUACAAAGUAAAAUCACUUCUUAAAUCUUAAAGCCUUGUGAAUCUUAAUUUUAACUGUCUUCCAUAGUUCUGAGAGGGAGGGAAUGAGCAUCUCAUUUUACUGAGGCUUUUUUGUUGACUCUUAAAACAGAAGAUAGAAGCUUGCUACAGCGUUACCCAGAUGUAUUUAGCUUUGACUUGUGAGUUCAAACCCAGCAUACUUUAUAAUAAAAUAAAAAUAUAAGUAAGAUAAAAU